CAAACUAUUCAAGUAUGUUCUGUUAUUUCUAAAACAUGUUACAUAGACUGGUAUGAAAAAUAAAUAAAUUUUCUUUUGCAACUCAAAAAUCCAGUGUUCCCUCUGAGUUUUGGUACAGGUAAGAGGAAAUACG